CCCGCCCAUUCCUGGUUAGCUAGUUGCCCAGAGCCUGAGAAGCGGGAUCCCAAGUUCAAUAAGAACGCCUGGAGGCCAGACCUUGCGAAAUCCGCAAAUGGGGUGCCUGCAGAGAGAAAGGUGGUGAGCCCCAUCCCAACUUGUUGCUUUGUGUGUACUUCGUGGAAGGAUGUGAUCUUCUGUGGCAAAGAUGUUUCUCUCAGUUAUUGGACCAGCUCCUGCCUUCAUGCCACCAUGCUCCCCACUAUGAUAAUGGACUACACCUAUGAAAAUGUGAGCAAGCCCCAGUAAAAUGUCUUCUUUGGUUGUGGCUCAUAAUCAUCUGUAAUGGGAUAUGAUGGACUCUUCUGGUGUGUCUGGGGACAGCAACAGUGUACUCAUACAAUCAAUCAAUCAAUCAAUCAAUAAAUAAAUGCAGAUUCAGUGGGCAAUGUAGCACCACAGUGUCCUGUGACAAACACUUCUA
rnacentral:lncRNA from 1 species